GACAGAGGGUGCAAACGUUGUUCGGAAUUACUGGGCGUAAAGCGCGUGUAGGCGGCUUGGCAAGUCGGGUGUGAAAUCCCGGGGCUCAACCCCGGAAGUGCACUCGAAACUGCUUGGCUGGAGUCCUGGAGAGGAAGGUGGAAGGCUUGGUGUAGAGGUGAAAUUCGUAGAUAUCAAGCGGAACACCCGUGGCGAAGGCGGCCUUCUGGACAGUGACUGACGCUGAGACGCGAAAGCGUGGGGAGCAAACAGG
rnacentral:rRNA from 1 species